UAGCUCAGAGGGUAGAGUGCUUGCCUUGCAUGCACAAGGCCCUGGGUUUGAUUCCCAG
rnacentral:tRNA from 1 species